UGAACCGCAUGGUUCAAAAGUGAAAGACGGUCUUGCUGUCACUUAUAGAUGGAUCCGCGCUGCAUUAGCUAGUUGGUAAGGUAACGGCUUACCAAGGCAACGAUGCAUAGCCGACCUGAGAGGGUGAUCGGCCACACUGGAACUGAGACACGGUCCAGACUCCUACGGGAGGCAGCAGUAGGGAAUCUUCCGCAAUGGGCGAAAGCCUGACGGAGCAACGCCGCGUGAGUGAUGAAGGUCUUCGGAUCGUAAAACUCUGUUAUUAGGGAAGAACAUAUGUGUAAGUAACUGUGCACAUCUUGACGGUACCUAAUCAGAAAGCCACGGCUAACUACGUGCCAGCAGCCGCGGUAAUACGUAGGUGGCAAGCGUUAUCCGGAAUUAUUGGGCGUAAAGCGCGCGUAGGCGGUUUUUUAAGUCUGAUGUGAAAGCCCACGGCUCAACCGUGGAGGGUCAUUGGAAACUGGAAA
rnacentral:rRNA from 1 species